rnacentral:lncRNA from 1 species
CAGCGACAUGGCGGCGAGGUGGGGGGCGAGGGGGGUUUUCCUCAGGGUGGGAUUCGCAUUUGGGAGGAGGCGAUUUGGGGGAAAUUGGCUUCCUUCCGCUGCUAGUGAGUAGUAGCAGCAGCUGCAGCAGCUGGGGGGCUUGCUGCUGGCGCCGCCGCUUGCUGCUGCUUUGGGGGUAGCGAGAGAGAGAGAGUGGAGAGAGGAGAGAGAAAUGGU